rnacentral:lncRNA from 1 species
CUGACUUCUCAGCUCUCCCGUCCCCUCCGUAACCCACUCCCUGCCUCAGUCUCCUGUGUGGUAAAUACACGAGUUCUCCAGUGAGGCCCCAACUGCUGCAUCCUUGGAUUAAUUUAAGGAUCCAAGGACAGAGGCCAGAGAAGCCUGCAUGGACCUGGGUAUCAGACGCAGAAGGACCUCCGGUGCGCAAACAGGACUCCAUGGAGAGCAGCUCGGGGGCAAGGACAGGCUUCUCUAAAGCAUGGUGAGGCACCACUGUCACUGAGGAUGCACGGUCCUCUCCUUGCCCUGGAAGCAGAGAACGGGAAUGUGCAGCCACAGUGAGUGUGCGACCAACCCCAGGCCAGCUCAGUCCCCUUACUUAAGUCCCUGAACAGCGGAGCCCUGACUGCCUCCAGCCAGGUUCUCCAUCCACAGCCCCAGUAUUUGGGUCUUGGAGCAGUGCUGACAGCCAAGAUGGUGAGGGGGUAGCAGGAAGCUAGAUGCGGAGCAGGCAUUUCCCAGCCUGGCAGAACCAUGGAGAGACCCCCCCCCGGCCCCCACCGCCGCCACCAAGGGCAAAGUCAGAGCAGGACACAGUGGGUCGGGGUGGGGUUCCCAGGGUCCUGACCCUGAGGCAGCAGGACCCCAGGCACAGGCAGGACCCCACCUCCCCCCCUCCACCUGUAGGCUCCUCCUUUCUCCAGACGCCCCUCAGCAAGGAAGAGCGGACCCAGACCGGUGGGUGCUAUUUGCUCCAGACUCCCCAGCGCCUAUGCGGCUGAACCCUAAGGAUUCCCACGCGGCUCCAGAGGGACGUUUCCAAACACACGCCCAAGUCCUCCAGAAGGUGACUUGAAGAUAAAAGUCCUAAAUGAAUGCAGAGCAGUUUCAACACAUGAGUUCACAUACAUGCUCCCAACUGUUUCUAAAUGUUAGGGGAAAUCCCAACCUUUGUCUUUGAAAAACACCAGAGUGUCUUGUUUGUGAUUUUAAAACACUCAAAGACAAAUUGCCAGUUUGCCGUGUGUAUUUCAAAUCUACUUUCCGUUUAUUUAAUUUCUUGGCUUCUUUAACUUGAAGCUUCCCACCAGGGCUCCAAACCUCUUUCUUACUAUCGAACAGUGUGACUACCCAGGCUGCUGAAGGCACCGCUUGUCAUCUAUCUAGAAAUUACCUUCUCUGCAUGUUGCCUGGAACUGUGGAGGGUUCACCAUUAUAAAUUAUAGUUCAAAUUACAAAACAGGGCCCCUAUUGAUGAUUUCAGGUUCUAAGUGUGUAAUUAUGGUGCUUUUGCUAAUGACAUAAUGAAGAGAGGUGAUUAUGUCAUUAAAAUGUGAUGUUUUUUAUAUCCCGAAGAAGCUGCCUAUGUGUCGUAAUGAACGUCCUGGGUAUGGGGUCAGAGUGGGCUCUCCCUCGAGGACCCUGAGGCCGUCCUACAGGGAAGAGUGGGGUUUUGUCCAGUGAAGUAUUUGCUAGUCACAGGCUGCGCUGCUUAGUCCUGAGAACGAGACACUUUCAGAGUUAAUGCCACAAAUAUUGUUCUUCGGCUCAGUAAUGUUAGGACGAAACAAACCCUUGUUAUUCUAAUUGUUUGAAUUAUCCAGUUGAGAUCCUGGGCAGUCUUGUCCUGUUUAAUGACUGACAAUUAGG